rnacentral:rRNA from 1 species
CAAUAACGUAUAUUAAAGUUGUUGCGGUUAAAAGCUCGUAGUUGGAUUUCUGUUGAAAGCGAUCGGUCCCCUCUCUGAGGCGUAUCGUGACUCGCUUUGGCUAGUCCUCCUGUAGCACGUUUCUGUCCUUCACUGGAUGGAGCGGGAUGCAGGACUUUUACUUUGAGGAAAUUCGAGUGUUCACAGCAGGCAAUCGCCCUGAAGAUAUUAGCAUGGAAUAAUAAUAUAGGACCUUGGUUCUAUUUUGUUGGUUUCUAGAGCUGAGGUAAUGAUUAAUAGGGAUAUUUGGGGGCAUUCGUACUAACCGGUCAGAGGUGGAAUUCUUGGAUUCGGUUAUGACGAACGACUGCGAAAGCAUUUGUCAAGAAUGUUUUCAUUGAUCAAGAACGAAAGUGUGGGGAUCGAAGACGAUUAGAU